ACAGUCACAUCACAUUGAAAAACCGGUUCCCGUACGAUCACUGACGUUAAGCAACGUCAAGCCUGGUCGGUACCUAGAUGGGUGACCGCUUAGGAAUAGCAGGUGCUGCAA